CACAAGCGGUGGAUGAUGUGGUUAAUUCGAUGCAACGCGAAAACCUUACCACCUUUGACAUGUACGGAACUCGCCAGAGAUGGCUUGGUGCUCGAAAGAGAACCGUAACACAGGUGCUGCAUGGCUGUCGUCAGCUCGUGUCGUGAGAUGUUGGGUUAAGUCCCGCAACGAGCGCAACCCUUGUCAUUAGUUGCUACAUUUAGUUGGGGCACUCUAAUGAGACUGCCGGUGACAAGCCGGAGGAAGGUGGGGAUGACGUCAAGUCCUCAUGGCCCUUAUAGGUGGGGCUACACACGUCAUACAAUGGCUGGUACAGAGGGUUGCCAACCCGCGAGGGGGAGCUAAUCCCAUAAAACCAGUCGUAGUCCGGAUCGCAGUCUGCAACUCGACUGCGUGAAGUCGGAAUCGCUAGUAAUCGCGGAUCAGAAUGUCGCGGUGAAUACGUUCCCGGGUCUU
rnacentral:rRNA from 1 species